AACGGCGAGUGAAGCGGCAAAAGCUCAAAUUUGAAAUCUGGCCCCGUCAGGAGCCCGAGUUGUAAUUUGGAGAGGACACUUCGGGUGUGGCUGCGGUGUAAGUCCCUUGGAACAGGGCGUCAUAGAGGGUGAGAAUCCCGUCUUGCGCCGCCGGACCACGCCCCAUGCGAAGUUCCUUCGACGAGUCGAGUUGUUUGGGAAUGCAGCUCUAAGUGGGUGGUAAAUUUCAUCUAAAGCUAAAUAUUGGCCAGAGACCGAUAGCGAACAAGUAGAGUGAUCGAAAGGUUAAAAGCACCUUGAAAAGGGAGUUAAAUAGCACGUGAAAUUGUUGAAAGGGAAGCGCUUGCAACCAGACUCGGUCGCGGGGGCUCAGCGGGCAUGCGUGCCCGUGUACUCCCCCGCGUUCGGGCCAGCAUCGGUUCCGGCGGUUGGUCAAAGGCCCCUGGAAUGUGUCGUCCUCCGGGACGUCUUAUAGCCAGGGGUGCAAUGCUGCCAGCCGGGACCGAGGAACGCGCUUCGGCACGGAUGCUGGCAUAAUGGUUGUAAGCGGCCCGUCUUGAAACACGGACCAAGGAGUCUAACAUCCACGCGAGUGUUCGGGUGUCAAACCCGUGCGCGCAGUGAAAGCGAACGGAGGUAGGAGCCCUCACGGGUGCACUAUCGACCGAUCCUGAAGUCUUCGGAUGGAUUUGAGUAGGAGCGUGGCUGUUGGGACCCGAAAGAUGGUGAACUAUGCCUGAAUAGGGGUGAAGCCAGAGGAAACUCUGGUGGAGGCUCGCAGCGGUUCUGACGUGCAAAUCGAUCGUCAAAUUU
rnacentral:rRNA from 1 species